rnacentral:rRNA from 1 species
UACAGAGGGUGCGAGCGUUAAUCGGAUUUACUGGGCGUAAAGCGUACGUAGGCGGCCUUAUAAGUCAGCGGUGAAAGUUUGCAGCUUAACUGUAAAAUUGCCAUUGAUACUGUAGGGCUUGAAUUUUUGUGAAGUAACUAGAAUAUGUAGUGUAGCGGUGAAAUGCUUAGAUAUUACAUGGAAUACCAAUUGCGAAGGCAGGUUACUAACAAACGAUUGACGCUGAUGGACGAAAGCGUGGGUAGCGAACAGG